AUUGAACGCUGGCGGCAGGCCUAACACAUGCAAGUCGAACGGUAACAGGAAGCAGCUUGCUGCUUUGCUGACGAGUGGCGGACGGGUGAGUAAUGUCUGGGAAACUGCCCGAUGGAGGGGGAUAACUACUGGAAACGGUAGCUAAUACCGCAUAACGUCGCAAGACCAAAGAGGGGGACCUUCGGGCCUCUUGCCAUCGGAUGUGCCCAGAUGGGAUUAGCUUGUUGGUGAGGUAACGGCUCACCAAGGCGACGAUCCCUAGCUGGUCUGAGAGGGUGACCAGCCAAACUGGAACUGAGACACGGUCCAGACUCCUACGGGAGGCAGCAGUGGGGAAUAUUGCACAAUGGGCGCAAGCCUGAUGCAGCCAUGCCGCGUGUAUGAAGAAGGCCUUCGGGUUGUAAAGUACUUUCAGCGGGGAGGAAGGUGUUGUGGUUAAUAACCGCAGCAAUUGACGUUACCCGCAGAAGAAGCACCGGCUAACUCCGUGCCGGCAGCCGCGGUAA
rnacentral:rRNA from 1 species